rnacentral:rRNA from 1 species
AGUUUGAUCAUGGCUCAGGAUGAACGCUAGCGGCAGGCCUAAUACAUGCAAGACGAACGUAAGUUGAGUAGCAAUACUUAGCCAAGAGUGUCGUACGGGGUGCGUAACACGUAUGCAACCUACCCUAUACAGGAGGAUAGCCUAGGGAAACCUGGAUUAACCCUUCAUAGUAUUAUUGGAUGGCAUCAUUUGAUAAUUAAAACUGAGGUGGUAUAGGAUGGGCAUGCGUCUGAUUAGUUAGUUGGCGGGGUAAUGGCCCACCAAGACGAUGAUCAGUAGGGGUUCUGAGAGGAAGAUCCCCCACACUGGCACUGAGAUACGGGCCAGACUCCUACGGGAGGCAGCAGUAGGGAAUAUUGGUCAAUGGAUGCAAGUCUGAACCAGCCGUGCCGCGUGCAGGAAGAAGGCCUUCCGGGUUGUAAACUGCUUUUGCCAGGGGAUAAAAUUUCCAUGCGUGGAAAACUGAAGGUACCUGGUGAAUAAGCCACGGCUAACUACGUG